AUUUCUCCUAGAAGCCCUUAAAUUUUGUUUUUCACAUAUCGUUUAAAACUUUUAAGUGCUGAUGUCUGUCUGUGUCAUCCCUCUUUUUUUUUUUUUUUUAAAUGUCUUUUUGUCACUUCUAGCUGGACCUACCAUGAAAGACUUCUGAAUCCAGGAAGAGAAACUGACUGGGCAACAUGUUAUUCAGAUGGGGUCUUCUUAUGUUGACCAGGCUGGUCUCAAAUUCCUAGGCUCAAGUGAUUCUGCCCACCUCUGCCUCCCAAAGUGCUGGGAUUAUGGGCAUGAGCCAGCGCAUCUGGCCACCGUAUUUUCUAUUACUGGCUCAAUGUAAUGGCUCCAUCUCAGGAACAGCCAAUGAAAGAGAUGCACAGGACAAGGAAGUGACCUCACAAUGACUCAAGCUACCACAUGCUGUUGAUUGUGAAAUGCCAGUUGAAGCAUAUGUCCUGCGAGCUUAGGGGUGCUACAAGUUGACCACUGCAGCAGUAAAGAUGACUCUGAAGAAUGGCGUGGGAUGGAUCCUUUCGAAUGCACUUGAGCAGCGGUCUCCAACCACAGGGCCACAGAGCUGGAGGUGAGCAGCAGGUGAGUGAAGGGAA
rnacentral:lncRNA from 1 species